GUGAGUUUGUGUUGGUAUAAAGCCAAACACGCCGAGUUAAGUCACCAAACAGCGUUUCGUUUAUGUAACAGUCUGCACGCAAGGUCUCUGCUGGAGUACGCAGCUAACUUUAGCUUACCUAACAAGUUAACCAUUAACUCGAAACAGACCACACAGUCAAGCAAAACUCACCUUCCAGGUCCCCAGUCCCAAAAUAGGGCACUGUGCGCCGGUGUUGAGCUUCACUGUCGUUACCAUUUCUUCAGAGGACGCGCGGCUGUCACGGUCGAGCGGGGAAGGGGCAGCAAACGCAACGCAGACAAAGCUGAGGGGUCGUCGAUCGAUUAGUGAUGCCUUUUACUUCAUUCGGGUGAGAUGAGGCCACACACCCUUAUCAAUUUAAAUUUAUUUGGCUUUACCUUCUCUGAACAUUUUAACGACCAAAAGCAGACCCAGUAAAGGGAUUAUCUAUCUGGUUGUGAACACCUGUGAGGUAAUUUACUAACCACCCUGUUAAAUAUAAUAUGUUGUUUAAGAACUGCUUUAAAAUGAUUAACAAAGAAUAAAAAAUAUAAUUGAAGUUUGCUAAAAAAAAAAAAAAAUCUGAGUUCAAGAGGAGUCAUUUGGCACACAUGACCUACCUUACAUUUUUUCUGAUGAAGUUUUGUCAUGUCGCUUAUUUAACCACUAGAGGGCACCAUUACUAUACUUAGCAAGCAUGGGAUCUGGGGCUCCACACUAUAAGAAUCCCAUAAUUUUAUACAUUAACUUGUAUAUACAUCAAUGAUCAAUGAUCCAAUCUUUCAUAUGACUUAAUCCAUGGAUGAAAUGGUCUCAAGGUUUCCUUCAGGUAUGUGAAUUGUCAAGCAUGUGUUAUUUAACUGAAGGAAUAAUGCUCUUUAGAUAAGCCUCUAUUAUCCUAAACACUGAUUAUUAUUAUUAUAAUAUGCAAAUAAUUAUAAUAAGUAACCUAUGCAGUGUUGAGCAGAUAUCUUUGUGUAUAAUAUGUAGGUAUUUAUACAGAUCGUUGCAAUUUAUGCAAAUAGAUUUUUUUUUUGAAUCUCCAAUUUGUAAGGAAAGGGCAGGACUAGAUAAGCUCUUUGCUUCAUUCUGUUCCUUCUCGAACUGUUUAUUUUGACAUACAUUUAUCUUUGACGUGUACAGUUGUUUGGUGUACCUAUGUAUUAUUUUGUUUCUAGUUGGGUUUUCUUUGUUGUUGUUCUUAAAGUUUGACUGAAGGGCCUUUUGCAAGCCAGAAAACUGUCAAAGUAGACCAAGAAUCAAACACCUUUGCAUGCUGUCAUGAUCAAAGAACCACAGGUAAACCAGACGGAGACAGGUACAUACAAUUGUCAUCUAAAAGAGGGGGGAAAGUUUUCAUUUCAGAGGCUCUUAUUUGGUGUCUGCGGGCAGAUGGAAACCUUUAUCCUGCUCGGGGUGCAUCUAUUAGAAUGAAGGAAAAAGAGAAAUGACCCGGCAUUUGAAGAUACACCAGAGGCCCGGAGUAAAACCAAAGGCCUCUCAUAGAAACUUUUAGACAAAGACUGAAGAUUCUGGAGAGAGUUAAGAGUGGUUGUCCAAGACUUUGAAGAGAACAGCAAGACAUUUCUACUCACUUGUGGGACUAAUAGAGAAAGGAUGUUUGUACAAAUAAGAUACAAAACCAUCUCAACCAGCUGUCUCCAAUUACUUUUCAUCACAUCGAAUUGCAACACAAAUAAUCUCAGGAAGCUUCACCACUAGAACAGAUCAAGAUAAGACAGUUAGCUGCAACCACAAACCUUCUAUGAACAGGCAGAAACCUCAGGCAAAACCAGAGUCAUAAUGGACACCCUUCUGCUGAACCUUGUUGUGAUAAACCAAAGUGGGACAAACAAACCUGUUACUUCUUGUCAGCAUUAUUGAACAUAUAGAGGAAGCUGUCCUGCGUAGAGAUGUGCACGUUUGCUGGUCUACACAAACACCCCAUAUUCUGAGGUCAGGCCUCGAGGAACUGACUCAGGUUUGCCUCCAGCCUGUGGCUCCUUUACUACAUGUCUGUCUCUCUGUUUCCUUCUCAGUCCACCAUCACGUCAUCUUCAAAUAAAGGCAAAAAGACCAAAAGUGAAGCUGAAACUGGAAAAUAACCGCUCUACUGCAGCGAUGCAUUGGCAGCUGAGGCAUGUGGAUCUUACUGUGCAGAAAGGACCCACCCAAAGUGUUUAGAGCUUUAAUAACAUUAGCCCCUCUCAGGAAAUCAACUCAACAGUCUUAACAUGCAGACCCUGUCAUCACGUGUUUAAUAUAUACUGUGCUUAACAGAAUUUUUCCUACCUUCAGUUGGUAGGUUUUUUAAAACUUUACCAUCUACUUUAAAGACAAAGACAGAAGGAGAUGUUGUAUACAGAUAUGAUGGCGACGCUUUAUUAAUGCUAGUGUGAAAACCUUAAUUUAAAGCUGCCAUAAGAAGCUUUUGGUUUGUAUUGAUUUUGUCGCUCAAGAAGGAGUUAUCUUAUUUGUGUUUGUACAUUUUAAGUGACGGAGCUGAUAGAUAAAGACAAGGCUAAGCAUUAUUUCAAUGUGAUUAGACCUAGAACAUUGCUCACACCGAUGAAAAGAACAUCCUUCGAGCCGGAGUUGAACCAGUGACCUAAGGAUCACAGCAAUUUCUAUCAGGAACAUCCUACAGUCCUCCGCUCUACCAACUGAGCUAUCGAAGGGUGCUCUUUGGACACAACUGCAGAAAACACAGUGGCUGACACAACACACUUUGCCCACAGAACUAUUCAACCCACAUGGUCAAUCAAAAGCCCAGUCCUACCUUCAGAACAAAGCUUUGCAGUUUGUACCCAACAGUCAUUGCCAAGGACCCAGAACUGAUAAUCAGGACUUUUAGGCUGGGUGAAUAAAAAAAUUGAUGGUUGGAAAAUUAAGCAGGAGUUACCUUGUUUGUGUUUUUACAUUUUGGAGGAGUUGAAGACAAGGCUUGGCUUUAUUUAAAUGUGAUUUGACAUAUAUACAGUAUAUACAGUCUAUGCAUUCAAUAAAUAACCUGUCUAAUGCCAAUGUGUCUCUCUUUCUGAAACAAAGCGUAUUAAAUAGCCUCCAUGCUUACCACAGUAUCAUGUGAUCCAAUUCAACAAAACUUACCUCACAUCCAAGAUGAAAACACAUCUAUCUAAAUUAACUUUUAAACUCUAAAGUUGUAUUAAAAUCUUCUACAGAGAC